rnacentral:rRNA from 1 species
AACGAACGCUGGCGGCAGGCUUAACACAUGCAAGUCGAACGCCCCGCAAGGGGAGUGGCAGACGGGUGAGUAACGCGUGGGAACAUACCCUUUCCUGCGGAAUAGCUCCGGGAAACUGGAAUUAAUACCGCAUACGCCCUACGGGGGAAAGAUUUAUCGGGGAAGGAUUGGCCCGCGUUGGAUUAGCUAGUUGGUGGGGUAAAGGCCUACCAAGGCGACGAUCCAUAGCUGGUCUGAGAGGAUGAUCAGCCACAUUGGGACUGAGACACGGCCCAAACUCCUACGGGAGGCAGCAGUGGGGAAUAUUGGACAAUGGGCGCAAGCCUGAUCCAGCCAUGCCGCGUGAGUGAUGAAGGCCUUAGGGUUGUAAAGCUCUUUAACCGAUGAAGAUAAUGACGGUAGUCGGAGAAGAAGCCCCGGCUAACUUCGUG